rnacentral:misc_RNA from 1 species
AAGUCGUAACAAGGUUUCCGUAGGUGAACCUGCGGAAGGAUCAUUAACACGUAUCCAACGUUAAACAACCCCGUGAACCUUCAGCCUGCUCUCGUAGCCCACGCGGCAACAGCAAUCCCGGUAAAUCAUUGACGACCAGUUUUGAUUCGGGACCUCUGUUACGAUGUGAGAAGUUACAGUUACGAUCGAGCGGUAGAGUCAGUGGCAUGGCGUAUUACUAAUGACUAGCUUAGCGGUAACGCGCUGAGUAAAAAAAAACCGAACAACUGUUAACAAUGGAUAUCUUGGUUCUC